rnacentral:rRNA from 1 species
GACGAACGCUGGCGGCGUGCCUAACACAUGCAAGUCAACUUGACUGAAGGAGCAAUCUGACAGUAGAGUGGCGCAAGGGUGCGUAACGCGUAAGUAACUUGCCCAAGGUAAGGAAUAACGUCGAGAAAUCGGCGCUAAUACCUCAUAAUGUAGCGGAUCCGCAUGGAUAUGUUGUUAAAGGUUUAUCGCCUUGGGAUAGGCUUGCGUCUGAUUAGCUAGUUGGUGUGGUAACGGCACACCAAGGCUACGAUCAGUAACUGGUCUGAGAGGAUGAUCAGUCACACUGGAACUGAGACACGGUCCAGACUCCUACGGGAGGCGAGCAGUGAGGAAUAUGGCGAAUAGCUCGAAAGAAGUAGGACCCAACGACAACGACCGCGUGGAGGA